rnacentral:rRNA from 1 species
UGGGGAAUAUUGGACAAUGGGCGAAAGCCUGAUCCAGCAAUACCGCGUGUGUGAAGAAGGCCUGAGGGUUGUAAAGCACUUUCAAUGGGGAGGAAUACCUGAUGGCGAAUACCCAUCAGACUGACAUUACCCAUACAAGAAGCACCGGCUAACUCCGUGCCAGCAGCCGCGGUAAUACGGAGGGUGCAAGCGUUAAUCGGAAUUACUGGGCGUAAAGCGUGCGUAGGCGGUUUGCUAAGUCAGAUGUGAAAGCCCCGGGCUUAACCUGGGAACUGCAUUUGAUACUGGUUAACUAGAGUUUAAUAGAGGGGAGUGGAAUUUCAGGUGUAGCGGUGAAAUGCGUAGAUAUCUGAAGGAACACCAGUGGCGAAGGCGACUCCCUGGAUUAAAACUGACGCUGAGGUACGAAAGCGUGGGUAGCAAACAGG